rnacentral:tRNA from 2 species
GUGGCUAUAGUUCAGUUGGUUAGAACGCCAGAUUGUGGAUCUGGAGGUCACGGGUUCAAGUCCCGUUAGCCACC